rnacentral:lncRNA from 1 species
GAGGGACGAGAGUCGGGCUCUCCGUUCUUUACGUUAAGUUCAAAUUUGCUGUGAUAACCAUUCUCCAUUGGAAGAAAGUGUUCUAGUUUCCAAACCUGAGUCACAAAAUUAAGAAAGUUGUAUAGUUAGAAAGCAAGCGAAGUGCAGGAGAGAAAAUGCAGUCACUAAAAUUGCAUUUCAUCAAGACUCAGAAUCAAAAUUGAACAUACCUGGGAUGCAGAGAAGUUAAAUUCGAUUUUGGGUUUUCAUGGAGCUCAGUAGUAGUCUGUUCCAAGCAAUGGUGGUGAACAAGUUAUAUAGGAAUGGCUUGGGAUAGGAAGAUUGACAAUCACACGGUUUUGGUUAACAAAGAUGCAGUCAUGAAAGAGACAGGUACUCAUACUUCAUUGGGGAGAGAGAUUGUUU